rnacentral:rRNA from 1 species
GUCCACGCCGUAAACGUUGGGCGCUAGGUGUGGGGGCCAUUCCACGGUCUCUGUGCCGUAGCUAACGCAUUAAGCGCCCCGCCUGGGGAGUACGGCCGCAAGGCUAAAACUCAAAGGAAUUGACGGGGGCCCGCACAAGCGGCGGAGCAUGUGGAUUAAUUCGAUGCAACGCGAAGAACCUUACCUGGGUUUGACAUGCGCCAGACGCACUCAGAGAUGGGUGUUCCCUUGUGGUUGGUGUGCAGGUGGUGCAUGGCUGUCGU